AUUGAACGCUGGCGGCAGGCUUAACACAUGCAAGUCGAACGCCCCGCAAGGGGAGUGGCAGACGGGUGAGUAACGCGUGGGAAUCUACCGUACCCUACGGAACAACAGUUGGAAACGACUGCUAAUACCGUAUACGCCCUACGGGGGAAAGAUUUAUCGGGGUAUGAUGAGCCCGCGUUGGAUUAGCUAGUUGGUGGGGUAAAGGCCUACCAAGGCGACGAUCCAUAGCUGGUCUGAGAGGAUGAUCAGCCACAUUGGGACUGAGACACGGCCCAAACUCCUACGGGAGGCAGCAGUGGGGAAUAUUGGACAAUGGGCGCAAGCCUGAUCCAGCCAUGCCGCGUGAGUGAUGAAGGUCUUAGGAUUGUAAAGCUCUUUCACCGAUGAAGAUAAUGACGGUAGUCGGAGAAGAAGCCCCGGCUAACUUCGUGCCAGCCGCCGCGGUAA
rnacentral:rRNA from 1 species